rnacentral:misc_RNA from 1 species
UCCGGCUUGGUGUUGGGCCUGGUCUUUCAGUAGACCGGCCUCAAAGAUAGUGACGGCGUCCCAGAUGGAACCGGUACGAGGAGCUUCUAACCAAGCAUGUAUGCGGCGGGAAUCUGCGGGCGGCGGUCUUUAACCACUACUCUUCGGAGUACUUUCUAAGUGUUGACCUCGGAUCAGGUAGGGAUACCCGCUGAACUUAA